rnacentral:lncRNA from 1 species
CCCUGGCAACAGAGUAAGACCCUGAUUCUAAAAAAGGAAAAAGGUCACUCUCUACUCAAGUUCUACUUAUAUAACAGCAAUGCAGCUCUCUUCAUAAAGCUGGCUGUUGUGUAGUUUAUGUUGGGGAAUCAGUUCAUGGUUUAAAAAGUUCUGUCAAUGCAGAGAACAAGCCGGUGUGUUUUAUGGAGAGGCUGUUUAAUCUCCACUGUGAGACAGUAAAUAUUUGGCUGUUGCAUCAUCGUGAAGCUUAUGAUCACAGUCUGGCGCCAUCUCCCUCCUUGCCUGGAGUCUGAUCUGUCCCGGCCCAGUGUCCUCCAGGACCCUGGCCCCUCAUGCCUCCGUGCUUGCGCGUGUGCCAUUUCCUCUCUCCAGAGGACCUUUCCUGCCUAGGACUCAUGAUUGUCCCCUCCCUGCUGUUGCCUAGUUUCCUGGUAUUAAGGAGAAUCAACUCUCUGGAUAAACGUGGUAAAUAUGGCCCAUAGUCCCAUCUUUUUACAGGCAUUUUUUACACCUGGAGCAGCCAGAGGACGCAUGCAUGGCUCUUCGGAAGCCUUCUCCUGCCACGGCAUGCACCCACACAUGCGAGCCUCCCGGGUACUGUCAUCCUGAAUUCUGAGACCAUCCAGCACUUCCUUUAGUUUUGCCCUGGUGCUGUUGACUUUUGUUUACUGAAGAGUGUGCUGGAGGCAGGACAAGGGACAUGGAAGGCUGCAAUUUAAGAGUCUAAAAGGUUUUAGAAUCCUGAAGGAGGUUUAACAAGCUGAAUUGAAGAAUAAUACCUUUCUCAACUGGAGAGAAUUUACAUGAUUGCAUUAUUGUUAAAAUUAACAUCUCAUCUAUUAAAAGCAUUUGUAGAUUA